CGUCGGCCGGCCCUCCCGCCUAUGCCUAUUGUGGUAUAGAGCUGGGACAGUUUCAUGAUGCAGGACCUUUGUAGGGAUGUCAAUCUUCCGUGGCUUCCUCUCCUUACUCAAUUUUCUGCCAAUUUGGCGUUGUCGAAGAGUUCGGAGACUGUUGUCGGUCUGGAGGAAUGAGAACUGGAGUACCGUAUGUGCCCGCUUCCGUCGUGGAGUGGCCCACCUCACUAACUUCUCCUCUGGGAUUACGCUCUCACCCAUACGCAUCUGCGUAUCGACUGUUUUACGCACCAGAUUACACUAUCUUAACCAAAUCAUUCAACACCCUACUGACUUGAUCCGCACCUUGCCGGACCUUUUCCCUAUCCUUCUCCCUUACCCUCCCCAACACCCUAGAGUAAAAUCUAUCGGGGUGGAAGUUUCUUAUCGCCUCUCUUACAGUCUUUCUCAAAUCCCCCGUUGUCCCUCCUGCCGAACUUGAUUUCGAGGUUGACAGAUGACCGGCUACAGCUGUCAUGAAUUUUCGGACAUUCUCAAGUGUGAGAGUAUCAAGAAGGAUGCUCUCACUUGAUCCGCUUGAUCGUCCUCGGGCGGAAGGUCGGAAGACUGGCCAAGGGAUAUCGUCGAAAAGAAGUUCAGUAGAUUCUACUUCGCCUCCAGUUUGCAGAGAUUCCCAUCUUGUGAAGUAUUUCGUGGGGUCAUCAAGGGCGCCGUACGGAAUGGUGUGCGGAUGAGGGAUCGGGAUAGGCGAGGAAGACGCAGAUGAGCGAGCGCGAUGUCGUUCAUAUUCUUCUCUCUCCCGCCUGUGACGUCUCCUCUCCUCUUUCCGUUCCCUCUUCUCACGUUCAAUCUCCUUCUCCCGUUCUCGAGCUUCAUGUUCACGUCGAUGUCGUUCAGCUGCAAACAUCUCCUCCGCGCGUCGGCGAGCGUACAUCCCUUGCCUCACGAAAUUUGUAUAUUCACUCUCUGUCAUGUGACCUAGUGGUGGAAUGGGGAUACCGUAAGGAUCGAUUUCAUCUAGAGGAUUACGUCGAGUUGAGUGAACGUGGCGGUUGCUGAAUGGGGGGAAGGGGAAGGGGCCAAAGCCAGGGGGGCGAGGUAUACUGGGUGAAGAAGGACGCCAUCUUUCAGGGAUAUGCGAGAACGAUGGCCCCGCUCGACCGAAUGUCGGCCAAUCCGCAAAAGGAUCAGAAACUUCGUUCGCCAUCCAAUGCAUCUUAUCCUCCCACUCUCUCUUCUCAACCUCUUCCCGCGCACGACGACCGUAACCACCCAUCCACUCGCCUUCACCGUCCUCCCCUUCUUCAAAGUCUUGCGGCCUUUGUUUAGGCCGCUUGCGAGGUGGGGAUAUUGAUUCUUCGCGAAAAGGGCGAGGAGGGGAGACCGCGUAUCCGUUUGCUCGAGAGAUGCGUUCUUGUUCUUUUCGAUAGCGGCGCUGCUCGUGGCGAUAAAUUUUCUCUGCCUUGUCUGUUUUCGUCUCUUUUCUGCGUUCUCGUUUAGCCAAAUUCGCAUUGCGAUACCAAUAAUAGCUCACAAUUUAAUUUUUGAUGGCCUCACGUCAUACUCGCCCAUGCUCGAGGUGAAAACUGAAGACGAAAAUAAGAGAGGAUCGUCGUUGUUAAUCC
rnacentral:sRNA from 1 species